AGUGCGACCUAUUCCUGUCACGUCCCAGCAGCAUGUGCUGCAGGAACAUGCUGUGACAAAUAGAUUUUCCAAAUGAGUUACAAAGCAAUUUCCAAAAGUACCUUCGAAAUGACAGUUUAGUAAAAAUAUUCCCUUUUUCAUCAAGUUUAGAGGGCAGAUCCCCACACUGAAAUACAAAAGCUUGCGCCGUGAGCAAGGAGCGAUGUUCAUGGCUCUGACAGCACAGGCUUGAUCUGCAGUGGCUGAGCUUGACUCCACUGAUAGCAUCACCUGCUGUGAAGGUUUGUAGAAUGAAAGCUGUAACUCCAGACCUGCUGCCCAUGUUGAUGUGUCUCACCGCUCUGCUGCCACACGAAUUGAAACCACAGGAAGGGGAGCCCCAGGUCAACAGAGUUGCUGGAAGACAAGGUCAUUAGCCCCAGCAUCCUCCUGCGGGCAUGCAUGGCAGCAAGAAUUGAAAGGAUGAUGUAUUGCACUCUAAGGGAAGGAGGAUUGUGGUCCUGGUGCCUACAGACAUACCUCACAGUGACAGAGCAAGAGCUAUUUUUGAAAAAUGCAUUUUGAUUCAGUCUAUGCUCCUGACUUGGAACUAGGAGUCAUUCAGUUUGCAGAACAUUCCAGCCAUCUUUCCAGAGAGAGUGAAGGAGGACAGUCAGAACAGAGCACCUACCCACUGAACCUGAAAGCAUGGUAACUGUUUGUCCUUUUGCAGCACUUACCACCUCUCUGUCAGCUAAGUAGGUUUCCUGUAACAAAUGCUGCAAUGAAUGGCGUUGCUGAGGUAGGCUAGCAAGUGCAUGGCUUCUGCAUCAACCAAAGGAACAGCUAUUGCUAUCAUAAGCUCUUUAGAUGUAGCCUUAUUCCUUCAAAAUCGAUUUUGCUGGAAAAUACUGUUUUACAAGUGAUCUAAGAGUACCAUUUUCAAGCUUGUUGUUGUAUAUUUGACAGCCCUUCAGACAUAAGAAGUGCUGCCAUUUCCUCCUGUCUGGCCUUUUUUACAUAUAUGACUCUGUCACUCGGCAAUGAAAGCACUGAAAAAAAAUGUCAGGUGGAAAACAUUUUUGUAAAAUCACAAAUGUUGGUGGCCAGUGAGUAUUUCAGGGCACAUGAACCUGGAAACAUUUUCAAACACGUUGUUGUAUCAUUCCAUUUUGGUCACUGACAAAAUUAAUUUGCAUUUUUGAAAAAUCCCUUCAGCUGGGCUCCCCAAGAAGUGCAGCUUUUUGUGUUCUGAAAGCCAUGGCAUUUGAUUGGAUUACUAAACGAUCUAACUUUAAUUAAAUGGGCACUAAUGUAGGUGCCCAUUUAAUAAAAAAUCUUCAUC
ensembl:lncRNA